rnacentral:rRNA from 1 species
UACGUAGGGGGCCAGCGUUGUCCGGAUUCAUUGGGCGUAAAGCGCGCGUAGGCGGCCGCCGAGGUCGCCCGUGACAGCCCCCGGCUCAACCGGGGAGCGUCGGGCGAAACCGGGCGGCUGGAGGCCGGUAGGGGGGGGCGGAAUUCCCGGUGUAGUGGUGGAAUGCGUAGAGAUCGGGAGGAACACCCGUGGCGAAGGCGGCCCCCUGGCCCGGUCCUGACGCUGAGGCGCGAAAGCGUGGGGAGCGAUCCGG